AGUUUGAACCUCUGAAAUCUAUUUGACCUAUCCAGUAUUCAGGUCUAGAACAGACUGCUCAAUUUCUUUUCAAUCAUCACUAUCCUUUUCUUGAAUAUCAGACUGAUUGGUAUUCACAGCUUCACACACAUUCAGAGCUAAUAGCUAGCUCACUACAAUACACUAUUUUUUUUGCUUGUCCUUAUUGGUAUUUUUCCCCAACAUGUUCCUUUUAAUGAGGUUUGAUAAUAUUGAACAUUCUGUGAAAAUUACUAAUACAGAGUUAGAAAGAAAUAUACAGGUAUUAAAUAGGAAAAAGCCUUACUUACAGAGCAACCUAGCCAGCCGGCAUGGCAGCAGUAUGUAAGGCAAGUACAGAAGUGAAACUGAAAGAGAAAACACAGUCCCCUGGAAGUCUCACUCUAUAUUACCCUGACCAUGCCCUCGCAAGAGUGGUCAGGCACACCUGUAGCCAGCCCCUAAAUAGGUGAUGUUACAGCUUCUCCUACAAUUCCCCUUUUAGUCUAAAAGAGGAUUAAAACUUAACAGUGAAAAGUAUCCAAAAUUAACAAUCAUAAAGGUAAAUAUAAGAAAAUACAACAAUCUGCUUAUGUCACAUCCUAACUAUCUAUUUUAACUAAGCCCUAAAGUCAUCUGAAAGUGGUGUCCAAGCCUGAACACCUCCUUCCAAUCCCAACCAUAAACAAUAGGAAGCAAUCCCUAACUAGGUAUAUACACUAUCCUAAGUGACAACAAUGGGGAAAGGGGGCAUAGCAUCCUACAAGUUACUUCCUGCUGAAAUGGGAUGAUGAUAGUCAUGUGGGUUCCUGUAGGAAGAAAAUGUUAGUAUAGUGAAAAUCUUGAAUGGAUUGUAUAUAGUCCAUGUUAGAUGGGUUUCACUUGAUUGAAGAUCUCAAUUGAUCCCCAACUUGAUUGAAGUCAGUACCCGAACCUCUGGCCGGAGUGUCAGUUGAAAUGGAGCAAGUUGGAUCCAGUGCAGUGGAGGAGGUGUCUCCCAUUUUCUUUAGAGGGUGUCCAGGGAAUGCUGUCAGGCAGGUCUUCAUUGGCUGUGUGGGACUCAAACAUUAACAGUUAGCAGAGAAAUGUUUGCUUGUGGAUGUACAUGUGCUGGGGAGUACAAUCAUGAGACUAUAACAAUUAUGAGAGGGUGUACACCUUGAGGGAAAGAUCCAAGAAAAGACAGAGAAAGUCCCCAAAUUCUUCUUUUAUUCUGUAUUACAUCAUUGGCUUCUUGAUACAAUACAGAAACUCUAAAGUUUAGUUAAAUAAUGUGCUUCGAUUUUAGAGGAGGAAAGCCAAGUCCACCUCUAAAUCCAGCAUUGAUUUAAUUGAAGAGGGACUAGGAAAGAAAGAGAAAUAGAGUUCUCUGAGAGACAGCUGUAAAGUUUACCAUAU
rnacentral:lncRNA from 1 species